rnacentral:rRNA from 1 species
AACGAACGCUGGCGGCAUGCCUAACACAUGCAUGUCGAACGAGACCUUCGGGUCUAGUGGCGCACGGGUGCGUAACGCGUGGGAACCUGCCCUUAGGUUCGGAAUAACUCCCCGAAAGGGGUGCUAAUACCGGAUAAUGUCUUCGGACCAAAGAUUUAUCGCCUUUGGAUGGGCCCGCGUUGGAUUAGCUAGUUGGUAGGGUAAAAGCCUACCAAGGCGACGAUCCAUAGCUGGUCUGAGAGGAUGAUCAGCCACACUGGGACUGAGACACGGCCCAGACUCCUGCGGGAGGCAGCAGUGGGGAAUAUUGGACAAUGGGCGAAAGCCUGAUCCAGCAAUGCCGCGUGAGUGAUGAAGGCCUUAGGGUUGUAAAGCUCUUUUACCCGGGAUGAUAAUGACAGUACCGGGAGAAUAAGCGCCGGCUAACUCCGUG